rnacentral:rRNA from 1 species
GACGAACGCUGGCGGCGUGCUUAACACAUGCAAGUCGAACGGAAAGGCCCUGCUUUUGUGGGGUGCUCGAGUGGCGAACGGGUGAGUAACACGUGAGUAACCUGCCCUUGACUUUGGGAUAACUUCAGGAAACUGGGGCUAAUACCGGAUAGGAGCUCCUGCUGCAUGGUGGGGGUUGGAAAGUUUCGGCGGUUGGGGAUGGACUCGCGGCUUAUCAGCUUGUUGGUGGGGUAGUGGCUUACCAAGGCUUUGACGGGUAGCCGGCCUGAGAUGGUGACCGGCCACAUUGGGACUGAGAUACGGCCCAGACUCCUACGGGAGGCAGCAGUGGGGAAUAUUGCACAAUGGGUGGAAGCCUGAUGCAGCAACGCCGCGUGCGGGAUGACGGCCUUCGGGUUGUAAACCGCUUUCGCCUGUGACGAAGCGUGAGUGACGGUAAUGGGUAAAGAAGCACCGGCUAACUACGUG